UGGUAGAUGCACCCUGAUAACUAAUCCCCCCUAGUCGGCUAAAACCUCUGGGGGUUUUUUCU
rnacentral:sRNA from 1 species